GGAGGGGUGACCGAGUGGUUGAAGGUGCACGAUUGGAAAUCGUGUGUGCCUUUACGGGUACCGCGGGUUCGAAUCCCGCCCUCUCCG
rnacentral:tRNA from 1 species